rnacentral:rRNA from 1 species
AUUGAACGCUGGCGGCAUGCUUUACACAUGCAAGUCGAACGGCCGCGCGGGCUUCGGCCUGGCGGCGAGUGGCGAACGGGUGAGUAAUACAUCGGAACGUGCCCAGUCGUGGGGGAUAGCUCGGCGAAAGCCGGAUUAAUACCGCAUACGACCUGAGGGUGAAAGCGGGGGAUCUUCGGACCUAGCGCUAUUGGAGCGUCCGAUGGCAGAGUCGCUAGUUGGUGGGGUAAAGGCAUACCAAGGCGACGAUCUGUAGCAGGUCUGAGAGGACGACCAGCCACACUGGGACUGAGACACGGCCCAGACUCCUACGGGAGGCAGCAGUGGGGAAUUUUGGACAAUGGGCGAAAGCCUGAUCCAGCAAUGCCGCGUGUGUGAUGAAGGCCUUCGGGUUGUAAAGCACUGUUGGUGGGAACGAAAAGGACUGUGCCAAUACCACGGUUCGAUGACGGUACCCGCAGAAUAAGCACCGGCUAACUACGUG